rnacentral:rRNA from 1 species
UGGGGAAUAUUGCACAAUGGGCGCAAGCCUGAUGCAGCCAUGCCGCGUGUAUGAAGAAGGCCUUCGGGUUGUAAAGUACUUUCAGCGGGGAGGAAGGUGUUGUGGUUAAUAACCACAGCAAUUGACGUUACCCGCAGAAGAAGCACCGGCUAACUCCGUGCCAGCAGCCGCGGUAAUACGGAGGGUGCAAGCGUUAACCGGAAUUACUGGGCGUAAAGCGCACGCAGGCGGUCUGUCAAGUCGGAUGUGAAAUCCCCGGGCUCAACCUGGGAACUGCAUCCGAAACUGGCAGGCUUGAGUCUUGUAGAGGGGGGUAGAAUUCCAGGUGUAGCGGUGAAAUGCGUAGAGAUCUGGAGGAAUACCGGUGGCGAAGGCGGCCCCCUGGACAAAGACUGACGCUCAGGUGCGAAAGCGUGGGGAGCAAACA